CUGCAACCUGUGGAGGUAACUGUGGCGGAGGUCCGCGUCUGCAUCUGUUUUUGUUUUCUCACAGCGAUGCAUCCAUCCAUAAUUAAGACUGGAUGCCAGUUAAAGAGUACAACUGGGAACGGUUUACAGAUGGGCUGCCCUCUGUGUCCCAAAUUCAACACCACACGUGCAAAGACCAUGUACAGACAUCUGGAGUCCCACAUCAAAAAUGCAGUUUAUUUCCAAGAUAUAAACAUUUGCAGAUGCAACCUGCCUUGCCGAGACACAGGUCAUUACCACUGCCCGCACUGUGAGAAAACAAUCAUGCGCAAAGAGGAUAUGACAUUACAGGUAACUGGAUGUCGAAACACAUGUGAUACAGUGCCACCUUCGGCAGAAAUCAGGGCACUUGCAUCAUCGUCAUCAUCCUUUUUCACUCCCUGUGCUCCCCAGCAGAGGUCAGCGCAGCCUCCUUUGAAGCGUAACCUUCCCACGUCAGGACUCUGUAAUGUCAGACCAUUGUUACGCAUUUGUGUCACCUGUUGACACUCCACCAUCCUGUCAGCCAAACUCAGCUCCCCCUACAGACGCCUGUAAACCACCUGCCGAGGCGGCACAGACUGAAGCCACAGAGCUGCUCUCUUCACGUGUGAUGUAUUUAAAGUCAGUGAAGUGCCCUCACUGCGCUGUCAUUCUCUACAAAAAGAACUUAUUGGUGCACAUACAAAGAAAACAUGGAAACCGAUCAGACAUUAAAGCUGCAUCUCAUAGUAAAAGCAAAAGUGUUAGUAAAGCUUAUGGCCUCUUUGACUUCCCAAAAGGCAUUCAUGUGUGACUUGGAGGCCUGAGCUGCUUCAGAACAACAGUGGGGGCUGUUCAGUGGAUCAUUGACAGUAUGUGGAGAAAAACACAGUAGAAAAUUUGCUGACACAUAUG